rnacentral:rRNA from 1 species
AGUGAACGCUGGCGGUAGGCCUAACACAUGCAAGUCGAACGGCAGCACAGUAAGAGCUUGCUCUUACGGGAGGCGAGUGGCGGACGGGUGAGGAAUACAUCGGAAUCUACUUUUUCGUGGGGGCUAACGUAGGGAAACUUACGCUAAUACCGCAUACGACCUACGGGUGAAAGCAGGGGAUCUUCGGACCUUGCGCGAUUGAAUGAGCCGAUGUCGGAUUAGCUAGUUGGCGGGGUAAAGGCCCACCAAGGCGACGAUCCGUAGCUGGUCUGAGAGGAUGAUCAGCCACACUGGAACUGAGACACGGUCCAGACUCCUACGGGAGGCAGCAGUGGGGAAUAUUGGACAAAGGGCGCAAGCCUGAUCCAGCCAUACCGCGUGGGUGAAGAAGGCCUUCGGGUUGUAAAGCCCUUUUGUUGGGAAAGAAAAGCAGCAGGUUAAUACCCCGCUGUUCUGACGGUACCCAAAGAAUAAGCACCGGCUAACUUCGUG